rnacentral:rRNA from 1 species
AGAGUUUGAUCCUGGCUCAGGAUGAACGCUGGCGGCGUGCCUAACACAUGCAAGUCGAGCGGGAUCUUCCGGAUUGAAACUUCGGUCGAAAGAAGGAAGUGAGAGCGGCGGACGGGUGAGUAACGCGUAGGCAACCUGCCCUUUGCAGAGGGAUAGCCACUGGAAACGGUGAUUAAAACCUCAUAAUGCCAAGAUAAGACAUCUUGACUUGGCCAAAGAUUUAUCGGCAAAGGAUGGGCCUGCGUCUGAUUAGCUAGUUGGUGGGGUAACGGCCUACCAAGGCGACGAUCAGUAGCCGACCUGAGAGGGUGAUCGGCCACAUUGGAACUGAGACACGGUCCAAACUCCUACGGGAGGCAGCAGUGGGGAAUAUUGCACAAUGGGCGAAAGCCUGAUGCAGCAACGCCGCGUGAGCGAAGAAGGUCUUCGGAUUGUAAAGCUCUGUCCUUGGGGAAGAAUAAAUGACGGUACCCUUGGAGGAAGCCCCGGCUAACUACGUGCCAGCAGCCGCGGUAAUACGUAGGGGGCAAGCGUUAUCCGGAAUUAUUGGGCGUAAAGAGUGCGUAGGUGGUUACCUAAGCAGGGGGUGAAAGGCAGUGGCUCAACCAUUGUUAGCCCCCUGAACUGGGCUACUUGAGUGCAGGAGAGGAAAGCGGAAUUCCUAGUGUAGCGGUGAAAUGCGUAGAUAUUAGGAGGAACACCAGUGGCGAAGGCGGCUUUCUGGACUGUAACUGACACUGAGGCACGAAAGUGUGGGGAGCAAACAGGAUUAGAUACCCUGGUAGUCCACACCGUAAACGAUGAGCACUAGGUGUCGGGGUCGCAAGACUUCGGUGCCGCAGUUAACGCAUUAAGUGCUCCGCCUGGGAAGUACGCUCGCAAGAGUGAAACUCAAAGGAAUUGACGGGGACCCGCACAAGUAGCGGAGCAUGUGGUUUAAUUCGAAGCAACGCGAAGAACCUUACCUAAGCUUGACAUCCCAAUGACCUCUCCCUAAUCGGAGAUUUCCCUUCGGGGACAUUGGUGACAGGUGGUGCAUGGUUGUCGUCAGCUCGUGUCGUGAGAUGUUGGGUUAAGUCCCGCAACGAGCGCAACCCUUGCCUUUAGUUGCCAGCAUUAAGUUGGGCACUCUAGAGGGACUGCCAGGGAUAACCUGGAGGAAGGUGGGGAUGACGUCAAAUCAUCAUGCCCCUUAUGCUUAGGGCUACACACGUGCUACAAUGGGUGGUACAGAGGGCAGCCAAGUCGUGAGGCGGAGCUAAUCCCUUAAAGCCAUUCUCAGUUUGGAUUGUAGGCUGAAACUCGCCUACAUGAAGCUGGAGUUACUAGUAAUCGCAGAUCAGAAUGCUGCAGUGAAUGCGUUCCCGGGUCUUGCACUCACCGCCCGUCA